rnacentral:lncRNA from 1 species
GGGCAAACCUCGGGGUCCGGGUCUCACCGGCCCCCCCGGGGCGCGCGCCAGGUCCUGGUGCAGCUGCUUCAGCAGCCCCCGGCAGCGCAGGUUCUUGCGGGGCUCCCAGCUGUUGGCGCUGUCCGGGUAUCCCCUCCACUUCACCAGGUAGAACUCCUCACCCCCGACUCGUUUGUAGUCGCACAGAUAUUCCACCUCGAACUCGCCGAGGUUCCUCCGGGUGACUCCGAGCGCGGCGCAGCGCAGCCGCCCGGCCCGGCACAGCUCCCGCAGCUGCGCCCACGUCGACUUGCAGCAGACGGAGCAGCCUUUUAAAUUUUCCGCCAUCUUUCGCCUUUUUUUUGCCGCCUUCCUUUUCCCUCCUUCCGCCCCCCCGGCGCGCCUUUUUUUUUCUUUUUUUUUUUUUUUCCUCUUUCCUUUUUUUUUUAUUUCCGGUUCCUCCCGACGGGCAGCGCGCGGCGGGGGGGCGGCGCCCGCUCCUCUCCCCGCCUCCACGGCCGCGCGCUGAUUGGCUCUUUGGCCCGCCUGAUUUACAUCUUCCCCGUCGGCCCCCGCGGCGGGCGGACUUCCCCCCCAAAACGCCUUUUUCUCCCCGUUUUCCAAACUCCGCCGCCCCGCAGCGCUGCCCGUCGCGGGGGCCGCCCCUCCUUCCGCCGCCGCGCCGAUCAACCGCUGCUCUUUGCGCCCGCCGCAGCCUCUAUGAGUCCCACGGCGCUGCGCGGUGCAUUCUGGGAGCGCUCCGCUUCUCGUUGCCGCUCAUCGGCGCUCGCGAUUAAUCGUUUUUAUUCGUGCCGCCCAUGGAUUAACCGGGCUGGGAGGCCACAAACCCUCCUCACGCCAAUUAACGAUGCUUAAUCCCUCCCAGCGCUCAUGAACGGCCGUAAUUAAUCGCUCAUCCGCCGCCGUUUAUUGCGGGUGGAGGGAUGGGGAGGGGGGGGAGCGCAAAGCGCUGCGGCCGCCAGGGGGCGCUGCGGAGCCGUCAUUCGUCCCAUUCGUCCUCGUCGUCCUCAUCGCCGUCCUCUCCCUCGUCUGAGGAGUGAAUGACGCGGCUCCGCUUCUGCAUCACAUCCAUCAGGGCGCCCACCAGCCCUCCCGCUGCCCCCCCCGCAGCUCCGCCCUCGGGGGCUUCGGGGGUCUUGUUGAGCGUCACGCCCUGCCGGAUCUGAUCCAGGAGCGCCCCCCGCGCGGGGGCGCCGCCCACCACGGAGGGGCUCCCGCUGGGGGGCGGCAGAGGUGGGGGCGGAGGGGGCGGAGCCACGGAGGAGGCGGUGCCCGGAGGGGCGGGGCCUCGCGGAGGGGGCGGAGCCACGGGCCGAGGUGCGGAAGCCGGGCCGGGCCCCCCACGUGGAGGGGGCGGAGGACCCCCAGGCGGUGGGGGGGAGGCAGCGGCCCGCUGCGAGCCCGUGGGGGUCCGGAGGGAGGAGGAGGAGGGGGUGGGGUCCCCCCUCUGCCUUGGGGGCCUGCAAGGAGAGGCGUCAAUUGCAGCAUUAGUGGCGCGCGGGGGGGGGGGCGCUGCGGGUUCCGCUGUGGGUCUGCAGGAGGCAACGUCCCCACGGAGCUCUUGGGGGGUGGGGGGGGGCUCGGCGCGGCUCACCCUGGCGCCGCAUCUCCUCCUUGACGGCCUGCAGCCCCCCCUGCCCCUCGAUGAAGUCGUAGAUGAGGCGCGAGGUCUCGGCGUCCGCCAGCUGCGCCUCGCUGAUGCCAGCGCGUGCAAACAGCGCCCGCAGGUCCGGGUCCAGCGCUGCAGUCUGCACCCACACGGCCCCCUUAGGACCCCUGGGCUCCAACGUGAGGGGUUCCUCACAUCCCCCCCACCCCACACACACACAGCUCAUACGUACAUCAAAGCCGUUGGCGGGAUCCCAGCCGAUGUGGCCGACGUGCCUGGGGGACGGAGGGGGCUCAGGGGGUGCCUCACAUCUCCCCCAGCCCCAUGUGCC